GUUACCUGCUAAAUGAAUUUAAGUUCCUCCUUAACCCAUUCACCAAGGACAUUCACCCAACCCUGCUCAUGUUAGGGUUAAGAGCAACUCGACGGGGGUACAGCCCCCUCGAAAAAGAAUACAACCUCCCCCAGCGGAUAAUAACACUUUCUCCACCUAUCGUAGGCCCUAAAGCAGCCAUCAACAAAAGAGUGCGUCAAAGCUCCACCAAUAAAAAUCUAGAACCCUAUUCGACUCCCUCACCUAAAGCAGGUUAACCUAUGAAAAUAGAAGAAUUUAUGCUAAAAUGAGUAACUAGGAACCCUCCUUCACACAGCGUAAACUUACAUUAAUAUAUUAUUAACAGAACUCAACUUAUAUACGCACUUCAACAAGACUUCAUAUUUAAGCCUAAACCUGUUAAGCCAACUCAGGGACGCUUACAUAAACGAUUAAAACUUACAGAAGGAACUCGGCAAAUUAAAGACCCGACUGUUUACCAAAAACAUAGCCUUCAGCGAACAACAAGUAUUGAAGGUGAUGCCUGCCCAGUGACCCCCAAAGUUCAACGGCCGCGGUAUCCUA
rnacentral:rRNA from 1 species